CAAGUUCCACGGAUAAAACAGCGUCUUUUAUGACGUCUAUUGUUCUUUCAUAAUUGCUCCGUCGAUAAAGCGAACUCCAGAGGAGACCAUCUACGUCGCGCUGUGCACCACGUCUGGAGCCUCAUCGUCCUCGAGAAACCCUCUCCUUUCCAAGAAGGAGAAGAUGACAAGAGACGAAAUGUAUAGAGCGUGAGUUGAUCAAUAUAUACAUAACGUAUAUAUGUAUUGGAGUCGUCGUCGUCGAGUCUCCUGGUGCCAAAGGCGAACACUGCGGCAACCAACCUCGAUACGUCUUCGCCCAUGAUAAGAUAAAGAAUUGAUGCUACCGUGAUUACGUUAAUCAAACUGAACUAUGACUGACUUAUAUAUGAUGAUCGAGAUCGAGUACGAGUAAUUGCAAAUUGAUUGCGGGUGAAGAUAUAUAAAUCGAGAACGCGAUGAUGGGAGUAUCGGAGACACGGGAAUAUAAUUUAUAACGUGACGUUAAGAGAACACGUUACAUUUAAAUGAUAAUUUCGGUCUGUGAGAGACCCUCGGGCGCAUAACAUUCGAGCAGGAGAGAUGCUCAUUUUCGCGAUGGUUGCUAAUUAUAAAACGGACAUUCGCAGUCCAAAAGCCUGUCUCUUUGGUACACGUGUUCUUAAUGUCACAGGAAGAAGAAAAAAGAAAAGAAAUAAAAGAGAGAAAACAGGCGAAAAAAAAUAAUAGCAAGAAAAUCACCGUCUACGAAAGGCUUCUUAAUAUUUAAAAGAGAUGAGAAUUGUAGAAAAA